rnacentral:lncRNA from 1 species
UUGAAAACAGCAGGGACUCACAUGAUUUAAAACUUAGAAUCAUCACCUCUACAAUAUUGCAAUCCACAUCUAAGAAGUCCUAAUCACAGAAGCACAUUAUACAAUAUCCUAGCUUAACAACCAAAUUCACCUAGCCAACAUCUUAGCAAAUCAUGUCUGACAUUCCCCUCUACCAACCUCAUUUCUUAACAUAAAUAAAUGUGUAUGCUUUACCUUGGGAGUAUCGAUCACAAGACACAUGGACUCUUACCCCAACAGGUGUAUGAGUAAACAGGUAGUCUUGUUUUGUUUUCUUUUACUCUAUAUCUCCAUUCUCUGAAUCUUUUUUAUCUCAAUUCCAAUGAACAAAGAUGCUGAUGCAGUCCAUCUUAUUCACCUUCUUUUCGAUUUUUUUAUUAUUUUUUUUCUUUUCUUGUCAAAGUGUAGGCGAAUAGUGGGGUCAUCGCUAAUGUACCUACUCCUCGCUUCCAACAAUGUGUGAUCAUUCUAUUAAAGUAGAAUAAUGGGGUCGCAGGAGACGCUCCUACCCCUCUAAACCGCAAGAAAUCAUCUCAAUCUUUUAUUUUAUUUUAUUAGGAUGCCAAAGGGAGGAGAGAAGGAAACCAAAAUCACUCAGACUUUUACCUUUCAGACCUGAAGGAGGAAUCCGAUCCAGUGUAUACCAAGCUCUAAGACAAGCAGUUAAGUCAAAUUAGGUUGGAGGUCAGCUUCGGUUCCUUCAAACAAUCUCAGCAAAUGUGAACAUAGUUGACAGGUUGAUCCACUUUAGUAUUUUUAGUACUAUCUGCAAUCAGUUAGUCUAGAAUGGUGCUAAAGAGUGGUUAGAUAACAAGCAUGAAUCUAAUAAGUUCAUUAUCCCCUUCUUGACUUAAUAAAAACAGUUUUGAAAACAUUUUAUAAAACUCAAUAGAUAAACAAAUAUCAGUAAACAUCCCCCCAAACUUAAAUUACACUGUCCCCGGUGUAUAUCUAGUCGGAGUUAUGGUUAGAACAUAAAUAAUAAGUAGACAAUUUAACAAGUAAGAACGAUAACGUGCUCGACAUCAGUGUCGAUCGACACAAUGAAUAGACAAUUGAUCGAUGUUGAUGAAGUGCUGUCGAUUGAUAGUGACAUGGUCUCAUCGGUCGAUGGCUAGAGCAAUCAUUCAACACAAUGAAGAGACUAUCGAUUGUUGGAUAUGAAGCGCUGUCAAUCGAUAUCGAGCUGGUGUCAUCGGUCGAUGUGCUGAGCAAUCGUCUACUCGGAUCUGUUUUUUUUUUUUUUUAACUAACUAAAACACAAUAUUAGUAGAACUUCCCCCAGACUUAAACAACACUAUCACUAGCGCUAUCCAGUCUAAGAUUGGUGGAAAAAUAAAUCAUAAGGACAAUAUUUAACAAGGAAAAACGGUAUACCUGCUUGGAUGUGAGUGUCGAGCAACACAGUUAAGUGGCGAUCGAUACUCUUGAUGCUCUGUCGAUCGAUGCUACGUAGCCAUCAUCGAUUCUCCUGCAAUCUCGUCUUCCUCGGAUCUUGUCCUUUUACCGAACAUAAACAAAACAUUUAAUACAAUUAAUAAAUAAAUAAUAAAACCAAUAAUCAAUAAAAAUAAUAAUAAUAUUUUUUUUCGAUGAACAGUGCUUUGCUACAGUGUCGCUCGAUGUUGCUGCUACAGUGUCUCUGCUAUAGUACCGUUGUUACUGUUUAUUUUUUUUUAUACCUGUAAUCUUUAGAAAACAAAGAAUCAGUAAUAAAUGAAAGAUAAACCAUAUUUAAAAUUACCUAACAGUGGGUUGCAUCCCACUCAGUGCUUAUUUUUAGUCAUUAGCUUGACUUCUGGAGAUCUGAUUAAGUCCGCAUAAGAAUGAGAACUUGCUUCAAACCAAGUCUCAAUGUCUACUCUUUGAAGCUUUAUCAUUCUUGUGUGAAAGCCUCCUCCAUAUACUCUUCUCCUUUGUUUAUCAUUUCAGCAAUAAGGAGUGCUUUGAGCUUUGCAAAAGGCUGUGAGAAGCAUCUGCUGCGCACUCUGGAUUUUCUGACACCAUCUGAGAAGUGGGGAAUCAAUGAUAACUGAGGAUCUCCCUUGAUUCUUUUCCUCUUCUUCCAAUUCUGCCUCUUCUUUCCCCCAGACUUUUCUGAUCGCAUGGUGGUGCCUCCAUCAAAAAGAUUCUGACACACUUCAAACUCUUUCUGCUCUGAUUCGCGAAGGGUGUCGAUCGAUGGUAUCUGACCGGUAUCGAUCGAUGAUGAAAUGAUAGUGUCAAUCGAUUUUGUUCUGUUGAUGUCGCUCGAUGGUACUUCUGCUGGGCAGUUAUUUACUUGAUCUCUAAAUCGCAGCCCUCUUUGAGAAGCUUCUACGUACUUAUUAUCAUCAAAUACUCCACCGUAGGAACUUAACUCCAUACUUUUAUCUGGUGGGAUAGGAGAUUCAGCUUCAAACACUUCAUAUGGAAAAACAAACUUCACAGGAUCAUGUAUCCUCUUCACUCUUUUGCAAAUCCCAACAGCUUCUUCUUCGCAUAGAGGUGGUCUUAGAUUUUCGGGGACAGAAAGGUGUGAGGCUCCAGACGUGUGUUCUUUUCUUUCAACCAGUUCUGGUUCAAUCAUGUAUCCUGAUAGUUCAUCCAAAAAUGGGUGUCGAUCGAUGCAAUUCGGUGGGUAUCGAGCGAUACAGUCGGGUGUAUGUUGAUCGAUGUUAGACGGCGACUGUAGAUCGAUGUCGAAGGGUUGGUGUCGAUCGAUCUCAUAAGGUUUAUGUCGGUCGAUGUCCUCAGCCUUUAAGGAAUUUUCCAGACAUUUUCCCGAAGCGGGCUGAUCAUCAAGCUUCUGCCAAAGCCAUUCUUCCAACUCCAGAAAGUCUUUCAGAGUGACUUUGUCGACAUCUGAGGUAAGAUCACAGCUUGAUCCAUCGAUGCUCUCCUGUGUCGAGUUUGCAAUGUCCUGAGGACAACUCGAUAUUUCAGGGAUUUCAAGUGGAAUUGAUCGAUGACAAAAGUCUGUGUCGAUCAUUUCUGAGGUACUGGGGUCGAUCGACGAUGAGGUGGGGGUGACGAUCGAUGUUAUGGUAAGGGUGUCGAUCGAUGAUGAGCUCGUGUCACUAAUAUCAGCUACUUCUACUGUGCUCAGCUUUCCAGACUCAUGUUGCUCAUCAUCCUCCACCAUAUAUUCCAGCAUAGACCUUAUCUCAAUCUCUAGAUUUGUUGCAGCAUCAUAGAGAAAUUUGUUGAGGAAGGCAUAUCUGAUGUCAUUCCAGGUAGUGAGAGAUCCUGGUGGUAGCUUCUUCAACCAAUGAGCUGCAUCCCCAGCAAGAGAGUAUGGAAAUAGUUUGCAAAAGUAGUAGUCUUCAGAGACUCCAUUGCAUUUAAUGGUCGAUGCCAGAUCUACAAAUGUCUCCAGGUGGCUAGUGGGAUCUUCAUGAGGAAAACCAUGGAAAGAAUGCUGACCCACAAGAGAGAUAUAUGCAGGGUGCAGCUCAAGGACAAUAUUCUGAAGUGUUGAACGACGCAAUGCAGACCUUUUAGCAUAGGCAUCAUCAGGACUGUUAUAGUCUCUAAUUGCCUUCGGUCGUCCAGUCCUAACAUAGACAGUGGUAGCAUCAGGGAUUGUAGAAGGUAUCGAUCGAUGACAAAUAUCUGUAUUGAUCGUUUCUGAAGUGCGGAUAUCGAUCGAUUCUGAGUUACUAUUGUCGAUCGAUGCUGAAGUAGAAUCUUUUGUAUCAGCUUCUUCUACUUUGCUCUGCUCUCCUGAUACAUGAUAUUCAUCAUCCUUAAAUGUAUCAUGGUUGACCAGCUUUUCUCUGUUCAAUACGUCCUUCUGCUUACUCUCAUCUACAUGGUGAACCUGAAUGUAUGGCUGCUUGACAUGAGCUGUCGGUGUUCCAAUAUCUCCAUUCUCCUCGCUGUAGAUGAAGUGUAAGAAUUUGACUCAUACUAAUCAUUAUUCCUUUCUCCCGAUCUUUAAUCAUCUAGUCAAGCCUUUUACUUCGAGUUGCUACAGCCUCGCCGAAAAAUUUGCCUAUGAAGGCUUCUUUGAUGUCUUCCCAGCAGGUUAGAGAUCUUGGUUGCAGCUUACUGAACCAGCUAAAAGCAUCUCCAGAUAAACAAUAGGGGAAGAUCUUGCAGAUAAUGUGGUCUGCAGAUAUUUCAUCGUGCUUGUUUGCUGAGGCUAACUCCUCAAGUCUCUUGAUAAGAUCUUUGGGAUCCUCAUGAGGAAGACUGUAAAAUGGAUCCUCACUUCCCCAAUCAUACCAUUGACUUGUCAGAUUAAAGGUAUUCGUCUCAGCCACAACAAUUACAUCAGGGAUUACACUACCCUCUGCAUUAAUUAAUUAUCUUGUGAGGCUGCAAGGGCGACCUUCUUCAUCUCGCCAAAUACCUUUCUUGUCGAUCUUAAGUAUGAGCGAUUCGACCUUCUCUGUCUCUCCGUAAGUGGUGUUCGUCAUUGGAGGAACAGUGCCGCGAUGAAUAGUGUUUCGAUAAACAGUGUCCCGAUGAACAGUAUUCAAAUGAACAGUGUUGCGAUGAACAGUGUUCGGAUGAACAGUGUUCGGGUGAACAGUGUUCGGGUGAACAGUGUCGAGCGACAGUAUAUGAACAGUGUCGAUCGACGGAAGAUGAAUAGUGUAGGUAAAUAGUGUCGCGAUGAAUAGUAUCGCGAUGAACAGUACUAGGAUGAAUAGUAUUAUGAUGAACAGUACCUGGAUCAACAGUACCUCGAUGAAUAGUACCACGGUGAACAGUGUUGUUUGACUAUUUGUUGGCUCUGUCGAUCACCGCUGCUUGUCGUUUGUCGAUCGACGUCGGAUGAAUUGUGUCGAUCGAUUGAUGGUGUAUGCUGUCGAUCGAUUCUGCUUGGAGGGUGUCGAUCGAUACUUCCCUCUUAGACUUACGGAUCGUGCAUAGACCAGCAGGCUCCUUCCUCGAAGGACCUAGAAAUCCUCUCUUCAUUGCUCUGGUACUGACAUGUAUGUACCUGAAAUAGAAGAAAAAAAUUUAUGAGUUUUUCGAACAGUAACAAAACCUAGACUAAAUCUAACUAAACAAGAUCUAAUGGCGAUCAAAGCUCCCCCGGCAACGGCGUCAAAUUUGAUAUCAGUCAAAUUACUCUAAAGAGUGUUACCCUCAUCAAAAGAGGUCGAGUUAUAGUACUUAGGGAUCGAAUAAACAAGGAGCUAGGGAACCGAUUAGAGCUAAACAAUUUAUAAUAAACUAGGCUGAUAGAUUAUAAAGCAGUAAAUGUCAAAUUUCCGCAAAGAUAAAUGUCAAAUUUCCGAAGAUAAUCACAAAGAAGAAGGAAAUAUGGAAAAGCCCGCUUCGCGAUAAAUCCGGCCCAAGAAGAGGUAAACCGACCUAAGGAGGAGUAUAUUAGGAGGACCUAGGACGAAGAGGGAGGAGAGAUCAGAGCACAUCAGAGCAACUUAGCACUUAGAGCAAUUUAGGCAUCUUUUUCCGUUUUUACUAAUCGAGCUGCGACUCAACUAGUUUAGAUUUAGGUCGCUAGACUAGCUGUGGGAACCGAGCUGCGACUCAACUAGUUUUCCGCUUUGGCUCGAGCUCGGUCGCUACGUAGCGACCGAGCAGGACGGAUGCUCGGUCGCUACGUAGCAACCGAGCUCGGCUCGGACUUGGUUGCUACGUAGCGACCGGACAGCGUCCAUGUGCGGUAGUUGCGUAAUGACCGAGCUUGGUUUGUUUGCUUUGAGCCUUCAAGGAUACUUCUUCGUAAAAACUUUGUAUUGAUUAAACUUUGUAAAACUUUCUUUUACUAUCUUUUCGGAAAUACGAUUUCCGAGGAUUUUCGGGUGUUAAUUCCGUCAUGACCGUUUUUGACCCCAACACUAGCGAACUAACCGACAGCUCUUGUAGCCUAGGUCCUUACUUGUUGUUCACGCUCAAACGCGAAUUCAGAAAUCAGAUCUCUUAUUCUCUUAUUCUGCUUAUUUUCAUUUUAUUCUUUCAUAUUGAUCGUGUCGUGUGUGGCCCAGCAGAUAACCGGGACCUUCAGGGAAGGCUAGGUUAACUUGGCUUUUCUCCGAUUAACAAAACUCGACGGUGUGAAUUUCGGUUCCCACAGUUUGGCGCUAGAAGGAGGGGGGUACGGAUCUAUCUCUCUCGCAACCACACACGCUCAGUCCGAUAUGACGACCAACGCUGACAAAGACCCGCAAACGCACGACGGGACUCCCAUCGAUGCCAACUCUGAUAAAACUCCAGCAGGAAACGUAUCAACGGUCACUGCCGACACCGCGAUACUAGACCAGAUGAAGGAAAUGUUCGCCUCCGCUCAGAAAUAGUCGGACGAACAAGGAAAACUCGUGGCCUCUCUCGCAAAACAGGUGGAAACCUUAACGGUGAAGGCCAGGAGCAAAGCCCUGCACGGGACCACAAGAGCCCGCAGCGGUAGAAGACUUGAUUUCGAGACUCCGGGCAAUCGAGCUGCACACGCGGACAAGGCUUCCUGAGGCCAAAACCCUGAUAAAACGCUCCAGCCAGGUGCAUAGCCAACUGCAGAAAACCUUCCACCUCCUACCGGGAGCAACGAAGGAGAAGAAAUCGAGCGCAUCGACCUGGAUAUAACGACCAGUCCGAUCACUCGGACGACGGUGCUGACAUCCACCCAAGAAGAACGCGAAGCCACUCUGCUCGGCAGGACGCGUCCUUCGAAAGACCCAUGACCGAGGAAGAAUAAAACCUCUAUUGGGUAGAACAGAAGGAACUGGCCAAAAAGCAGGCCAGGAUCCACCGCAGCCAACACAGACAAGCUCGCAAGGCUGCCAGAAAUCCUGAUGAGAUCCACGAUCUCCGCGAGUACAUCGCGAAAACCGCAGAGGAGGUGAAAGCGGUGAAAUCACAAAUCCACCAUGCGACAAGCGCUGCGCCCGAGAUCGACAGACUUCUCGAGGAAGCACGCAAAACCCCGUUCACUGCCCGGAUUACUGAGACCAACGUCUCGGACCCAGGGAAGAUCAAAAUUCCCAUCUACGAUGGCACCACCGACCCGAAAGCGCACCUGCAGUCUUUCCAGAUCGCGAUGGGGAGGUGCAAACUCAAGGAACGCGAACGAGACGCUGGCUACUGCCUCCUCUUCGUCGAAAACCUCAAAGGAGCCGCGCUCGAAUGGUUUUCUCGCCUAAAACAAAAAUCCAUCGGAAGUUUCCGCCAACUUGCUUCAGAGUUUCUAAAGCAGUAUUCCAUGUUCAUGGACAGAAAAACUGUGGGAACCGAAAUUCACACUGUCGAUUUCCGUUUAAAUAAGGAAACUAGGAAAACCCUAAUUUCCCAGAGGACCCGGAUAUCUUUUAAUUACCACACGUCAAGCAAUCAAAACACGAGAAUAACAACGAUAAAAAUAAGAAAUCGAAAAGAGAGCAAAGUAGAUCUUAUUCCGAAUCUCCCGUAUGAGCGUUUACAACAGGGUAUAAGCCUGGGCUCGAGAGCUGUCGGCGAGAUUCCUAGUUCUAGCAACCCUAAGACGGCUAAACCUAAUUGAGUCGCAGCUCGAAAUAACAAAAACGGAAAAUUGCCUAAAUUGCUCUAAGUGCUAAGUUUGCUCUGAAAAAGUUCUCCUCUUGCUCCUCGCCUAGGACUCCUUAUAUACUAGCUCCAAGGUCGGUUUACGCUUUUACUCUUCUGCCCUUAAGCCGUCAUAGCAUAAAAAUGGAGAUUUUCCAUUUUUCCCGAUCUUCACAAUUAUCUUCAAAACUUCCGUAUUUAUCUGCGGAAACUUGACAUUUAUCCUUCCUUGUGGGCCAAGCGCAAGUUUUAGGUCCUUUUGGGCCGUCUUCCGACUCGACACGUUUACUACGAGUUUUCCGCGGUUUCUAAUCCGCGAAGUUUGAUCGAUGAAUUAGAAUAGCGGGAAACAUGGACUGAGCUUGCUACGGUCUUCGGGAGAUAGCAUUCGAAGGUUUGACGAGAAUGCAAGGAUUGGUGUCGUAUCGGUGUUCGGAAAGGUUCAAUCGCUACACAGCGACCGAACUUUGGCUCGAGCCCGGUCGCUUCGUAGCGACCGAGCGGGAGGAGUGCUCGGUCGCUACGUAGCGACCGAGCUUUGGCUUGAGCUCGGUCGCUACGUAGCGACCGAGCGGGACGAUCGCUUGGUCGCUACGUAGCGACCGAGCGGGACGAUCGCUCGGUCGCUAUGUAGCGACCGAGCUUUGGCUCGAGCUCGGUCGCUACAGCGGGACGAUCGCUCGGUCGCUAUGUAGCGACCGAGCGGGACGAUCGCUCGGUCGCUACGUAGCGACCGAACUUUGGCUCGAGCUCGGUCGCUACGUAGCAACCGAGCGGGACGAUCGCUUGGUCGCUACGUAGCGACCGAGCUUUGGCUCGAGCUCGGUCGCUACGUAGCAACCGAGCGGGACGAGCGCUCGGUUGCUACGUAGCGACCGAGCGGGACGAUCGCUCGGUCCCUACGUAGCGACCGAGCGGGACGAUCGCUCGGUCCCUACGUAGCGACCGAGCUUUGGCUCGAGCUCGGUCGCUACGUAGCGACCGAGCGGGACGAUCGCUCAGUCGCUACGUAGCGACCGAGCGGGACGAUCGCUCGGUUGCUACGUAGCGACCGAGCUUUGGCUUGAGCUCGGUCGCUACGUAGCGACCGAGCGGGACGAUCGCUCGGUCGCUACGUAGCGACCGAGCUUUGGCUCGAACUCGGUCGCUACGUAGCGACCGAGCGGGACGAGCGCUCGGUUUGAAUCCCAAAGAAUACUUCUUCGUAAAAACUUCAUAUUGGUUAUUUUUACAGAAAUUACAUCUCUCCUUUUACUAUCUCUUUUGGAAAUAUGAUCUCCGAGGAUUUUCGGGUGGUAAUUCCGUCGUAACCGUUUUUGACCCCAACAGUUAGCCCCCCAGCCCGUUAGGAUCAUGCAUCGUAGGAUCCUAGCGUGCGGUUAGGCAUGUUUGGCAAGUUAGGCGUGAUGGAUGGAAUUAAUAUCCGAAAGUCCGAGCGUGAAUAGUAAAUCCUCAUGUCUAUAAGAAGGGAGGUAACUUGUUCCAUAAUUUUUUCACUUUCUUGUCUUUCUCUAAGAUCUUUCUUAAGAAAAACUUUAUAUCUUUCUCUCCACCCUUUUCCUCUAUUCUCUCAAGAGAAGUGUAAAGAUGUGGAGCAAGAAAAAGAUUGCGAAAAAAGGGUCUUCGUCCGCGAGUCCUUAUGAAGAGCUCAUCGUUCCGAAGAUGGAGUUCGUGUCUCACUCGGUGCAUCCUGCCGAGAACGAGGCAUGGUGGGUUGCUCAUUAUGGCUCGUUGACCCCUCCCAAGGAGAAGCCGUUCCCGGUCCUGGUCCAUCGUGGAGUCGAGGAAGAGGAUGCAAGCAGGACUACCGACGAGUUUCUCGCGAUGAUGCGAUCGUUCUACCAUAUCCCGGAUGCUGUGGAGUUCCGGGUUCCCCACAGCGGGGAAUGUGCUAACAGCCCCCCGGAAGGUUACUUUACUUGCUAUGAGGCGUUCGUAGUGCGUUGUCGCCUAUGGUUCCCCAUACCCGAAAUUCUCGUCCGAGUGUUGGAUCGUUUCGAAGUUGCGAUAAGUCAGUUGACUCCCCUUGCCAUUCAGCAUCUUAUCGGGAUCCUGAUCCUAAGCUACGAGCAUGGCCUUUCCCUUUCCGUCGAUCAUUAUGAAGCGCUUUUGAGGCUUCAACUUGUCACAGAUACGGAUAAGCAUAGGUUGGUCCCUCGAAAAUUUAUGUCAGUGGUUAAGAAGUUCAUUUCGAAAUUCAACUCGUGGAAGAAGUUCUUUUUCUUUGUUCGUAUAGACGCUGCAUCCGUCGAAGAGAGUUGCAUUCCACUGUUCCGGAGGUUGCCGAAUGAUCGUCCCUUCAUUAACCCUCUUGCUCCGUUCCCUGAGGACAUCAUUGCGGUGACGGAUCUUCUCAGGAAUGGUCCCUUCUUCUGGACUUCUUUUACGCCGAAGAGGGUUCGGAAGGCACUAAGAUUCGUGCAACCCGGUCCUGCUUUGGCUACGGAUUCGGGAAGCGAUUCCAAACCUGAAGACCAGAAUCCCGUCGAAGCUCCAAAAGCUGUGCUGGAGUCGAGCUCUUGGAAGGGAAAAGACGUCGAUCUUGGCGACAUAGAAUUUUCGAUGGAUGACUCUAUGCUUCCAGGAUGGGAUCCGAACCUUGCUUAUGGCGAUGGGAGUGGUUCGAGCGAGGCCCCUAUUCCGGAUUUCGAUGAUUUCUUUGCUGGACUGCCACCGGGUUUCGAUGCUCCUCCUCCUACAAAAGAAUCGGCGAGGCCGAGAGUCGUUGCGGAAGGAUCUCGCAUCAUCAAUGGGGUUAGUUUUUUGAGAAUUUUUUGAUGAUUGUCCUAUGUAUAUAUAUAUAUAACAUGUCAAUCGAUUUUGCAGGGCCUGAGCUUGCUGGGGUCGGCCAUUGAGGCGGGCCAUAGCGGAGCGGGAUCUCGCUCGUGUGCAAGGCGAGAUGUUGGAGCGAGAGGCGCAACUUACUCGUGAUCAUGCGCGGGCUAUUCGUAAAGCGGAGAGGAAAGGCAAAAGAGAAAUCGUCGAGGUGAUGAAGACUCGUGCCUCUCAAUUCCAGGUUGAGUAUGGGAUCCUCAAGAAUGCCUUUACCUCGGUGGGUGACUUUCGCGAGUGCCGCGGUUCGGUCGAAAGUCUUUGGAGGACGCGAGCCGAUGACUAUGUGUUUGAAGAGGAAAUGAGCUUGAUGAAGAGUGGGAUGAAUGAACGUGCCCAUGCUGAGGCGCUUAUCCCUCCGAUCGACGAGCGGAUUCAAGGGUUCUGGGAUUCCAUCCCGCUUUCCUCUGAUACCGAGGAGGCUCCGACCGGGUUUCCUGAUAGUGGCGAGGAAGUGGAUCGUCCCGCGGAUGCGUUCGGUGCUUCGUUGUCCGGGGAUUUUGACUUUGGAUUAUGAGGGGUGGAUUAGUUAUCCUUUUAUCUGUUUUCGGCCGAGUGUGGCCCUUUGAAUUUGGAUUUUGUUUAGGCCUAGAUGGCCGUAUUUGUAUUUACCGGGACUGGCCGUUGGUGGCUUUGAAUCCCUUGCCGCUUUACGCGGUUUAUUUAUAUGAUGAAUGUUUUGUUUCGAGUUUUCCUGAGUAGGGUUGAAGUAAAUACGAGUUGUCGUCUCGUAUUUAGUUCUGAUUAGACGUUCGAUCUGUUGGUUCGUUCGUGAUUUUCGUAAAAAUUUACUUAUCUUUACGAUUUUCGAGAACAUUGAGAUAUGAACGGAGAGACAUGGUUUAGGAUCUCGUAUCUUUUAGAUAUCAUGCCUUGAGAUGUUUGAGACCAGAGCGUUGGGUUUAGGGCAAGACCUAGGUUUACUUUUGGUUAAGGUUUGUGCGGUGACUAGCCGGCUAUCGUUUUUCCUGUUGCGAUUUCUUCCUGACUCGCACCGAUUUUUAGUCCGCGAUAUGUUCUCGGCUUAUAUGACUUGUAUGGUACGAAUCGAGCAUCUUCUCAGAUUUUUGUUGUAGCGCGCUUUUGUCCUUGUGCUGGACGUUUUUAAAGAUCAAACGAGUGAUCGAAUUGCGUUUGUUUAAGACGGCUGGCGUGUUCGUCGGGGCCAAUCGACGAACGGGGUGUAAGGUUUUUGGUGGUCGCGUUCGGACAAUUUGUUGGUAUUGUCCUCGAAUUUUAACUUUUGCGACGUCUCGCAGUUAUUUCGAGGAUUAUACGUGUAUUUUUGCGUGUUUGAAAGAUGAUAAUCUUUACGAUUUUUGGGCCGGAAGGGGCCGCAGACAAGAGUCUUAACGUUUUCAGGCGUGUCCUGAAAGUUUCUUUUGUGUUUUACUGAAGCAUAAACGUUUUCGAUAAAAAGGACAACAUAUAUUGUAGUAAAAGUUUUUGAAGUUUCUAAAAACUCGAUUACAAUAAUGAAGAUUUUCCUAAAUGGGAGUAUACGAGUAUACGCACCCACUCCCCCCCCCCCUUUUUAGAGAGGGGGAUAGCUGAACUCGUCUUUUGACGAGCUGCCUACGUACCCCUUUCGAGGAUCAAGCCAUCUCGUAGUUCUAUUUCAUGCCGCGAGUGUUCUUACUCGGCGGUAGAUGUUGCGAUGUCCGCCUUGACCGUGUCGAUCGUGGCUGGAUCAACGCUAUUUUCCGGAUGUUGAGUUGUCACGUGGGCUUCGGAUUUAUGUCGAGCUUCGACGUCCGAUGCGUUUGCGUUGGUAGACGAUUUUGAUUCGUCUUUUCCCGGGGCGCUUUUGGCCGAAGAUCGGUCUAUCUUCUUGCGCUUGCCGUUUACAGGUGCAGAAGUCGUGAUUUGUCUUAACUUGUGUUCUGCGAGGAAGCAUAGCCGCGACUGUUUUUGGCAUCCCCAGAUGGCCGCGACUCUGCUUGGCGUUGGGAACUUGAGACCCAGGUGGUAGGUUGACGGAACUGCCUGCAUGGCGUUGAGCCAUGGGGUUCCCAUGAUCACGUUGUAGAUAGCGGGAUGAUCGACUACCGCGAACUCGACGAUUUUCAUGAUCUCCUUGGCCAUGACUGGCAAUUGGAUUGAUCCGAGAGUCAUCGACACUUCGCCUGAAAAACCCGUGAGCGGUUUUGGCGUCGGAAUUACUCCUCCGAGUUCGAUGCUCAUCCGCAUGAGAGUGUCGCGGAAGAUUACGUUGACCGUGCUUCCCGUGUCGACGAGUACCCUUCCGACUUCUAAAUCUCGUAUGACGAGAUCUAUGACGAGCGGAUCGCAGUGAGGUUGGUCGAUGCCGCCGGCUUCUUCUUUUGUGAAGGUGAUCGAGCAACUUUGGCCGUCUCGAGGAGGAGACCAUUUAGGCCAAUUUGCACUUGACUCUGCCUUCCGUUGGUAAGCCUUGAUGGCCGACACGGUAUCGCCGCAUUAUUGUGAUCCUCCGAUGAUCAUAUUGACUCUGCGACGAUUGUUAUCGUUCCCUUUGUCAUCCGGCCUCCUACCGCGUUUAUCCCCAGGUUGGUUUCGUUGAGGGGAUUUUUCAGCGGGCAGAUUUCUAUCCGUCUUUGGAGGCCGAUCAGAAUCGAGGAUGAGAUCCUUGACGCUAGUUACUUCCGAGAGCUCUCCAGCGAGUAGCUUCGCGGCCAGUCUUGCUCCCAAGACUUUGCAAUUGGUCGUGGAGUGUCCCCGGGAUUGGUGGAACUCGCAAAAGGUGUUUUCGUCAUACCCUUGAUUGCGAGUCCAUGUGUUACCCGUGGUCCGGCCUUGAUCCGAAUUGAUCGCAUAGUUAUGCGCUCCUUGGAGAUCUUCCCCCUCGUGAUGGACGUACUUGUCGUUACGAGAGUUCUUCUUUUUCCCUUUCGGAUCCACGUCUUUCGAGGAUGGUCUUGCCGUCUUAUGUUUUUGCGAUAAGACUUUAGUUUCUUCCUCGACUAUGAUGUAGUCCGUUGCUUUGUGGAGGGCGUCCUGGAUCGUUCGCGGUUUGUCGAGAGUUAUCCCUUUUCUGAAUUUUGACUUGUACCAGAGCGUCUUUCUCAGCGCGUCGAUGGCCACUUUGUCGCUUAUCCCGCUGACCCUGGACAUUAUCAGCUUGAACCGACUGAUAAACUCGCGGAGGGGUUCGUCUUCCCUCUGGGAGAGACUCCAGAGGUCAACAUCGGAGGUUUCUCUGUCUAUGAAUACAGAGUACUGUUUGAGAAAUUCCGAUGCGAGCUGUCGAAAACUCCCGAUGGUGUUGCGACGAAGGCGUGCGAACCAUUCGAGCGCUGCUCCUUCAAGAUUUUCGACGAACAGGCGGCAAUAGCCGGGAUCUUUUUCGCCGUCCUUCAGUCUUGCUCUUCCCAUCGCGAUGUGGAAAGCCUGAAGGUGCGCUUUUGGAUCGGCCGUACCAUCGUACUUCGGUACUUUGAUUUUUCCUGGAUCGGACACCCUCAUGUCCGAAAUGCGACUGGUAAAGGGGGUCUUUCGAGCUCCUUCCAGCAGUUAGAGAGAACUCAUAAUGGAGGGGCUGCAGCGCUGUGAGCCUGGGGCCCGCCCCGUGGGAACUAUCCGCCCCGUGGGCCCCAGGCUCACAGCGCUGCAGCGCAUCGACCCUAACGCCUCCAUUAUGAGUUCUCUCUAACGCAUAAUUAGGUUGUUGGUGAGCCUCGAACCCAGGACCUCACCCUUUAACAGCAUUCCCACAGGACAAGCUGUCACCAAUUGAUCCCUCGUGGUGGACAUACUUGUCUUUUUGAGAGCUUUUCUUUUUUCUGGGCGUCUUCUGCGGGUUGUACUUCUGGGAGAGGAUUUUCAUCUCCUCUUCCAUUACUAUGAAGUCCGUUGCCUUAUGAAGAGCGUCCUGAAUCGUUCUCGGUUUUUCGAGGGAUAUCCAUUGCCAGAAUUUCGACCGGUACCAGAGAGUUUUCUUCAGAGCAUCGAUCGCCACUUUGUUGCUGAUCCCGGUGACUCUUGCCAUUACUAGCUUGAAUCUGUUCAUGAACUCGCGAAGUGGCUCGUCUUCUCUUUGAGACAGGCUCCAGAGAUCGACGUCCGAGGUUUUUCUGUCCAUGAACAUGGAAUACUGCUUUAGAAACUCUGAAGCAAGUUGGCGGAAACUUCCGAUGGAUUUAUGUUUUAGGCGAGAAAACCAUUCGAGCGCGGCUCCUUUGAGGUUUUCGACGAAGAGGAGGCAGUAGCCAGCGUCUCGUUCGCGUUCCUUGAGUUUGCACCUCCCCAUCGCGAUCUGGAAAGACUGCAGGUGCGCUUUCGGGUCGGUGGUGCCAUCGUAGAUGGGAAUUUUGAUCUUCCCUGGGUCCGAGACGUUGGUCUCAGUAAUCCGGGCAGUGAACAGGGUUUUGCGUGCUUCCUCGAGAAGUCUGUCGAUCUCGGGCGCAGCGCUUGUCGCAUGGUGGAUUUGUGAUUUCACCGCUUUCACCUCCUCUGCGGUUUUCGCGAUGUACUCGCGGAGAUCGUGGAUCUCAUCAGGAUUUCUGGCAGCCUUGCGAGCUUGUCUGUGUUGGCUGCGGUGGAUCCUGGCCUGCUUUUCGGCCAGUUCCUUCUUUUCUACCCAAUAGAGGUUUUAUUCUUCCUCGGUCAUGGGUCUUUCGAAGGACGCGUCCUGCCGAGCGGAGUGGCUUCGCGUUCUUCUUGAGUGGAUGUCAGCACCGUCGUCCGAGUGAUCGGACUGGUCGCUUAUAUCCAGGUCGAUGCGCUCGAUUUCUUCUCCUUCGUUGCUCCCGGUAGGAGGUGGAAGGUUUUCUGCAGUUGGCUAUGCACCUGGCUGGAGCGUUUCAUCAGGGUUUUGGCCUCAGGAAGCCUUGUCCGCGUGUGCAGCUCGAUUGCCCGGAGUCUCGAAAUCAAGUCUUCUACCGCUGCGGGCUCUUGUGGUCCCGUGCAGGGCUUUGCUCCUGGCCUUCACCGUUAAGGUUUCCACCUGUUUUGCGAGAGAGGCCACGAGUUUUCCUUGUUCGUCCGACUAUUUCUGAGCGGAGGCGAACAUUUCCUUCAUCUGGUCUAGUAUCGCGGUGUCGGCAGUGACCGUUGAUACGUUUCCUGCUGGAGUUUUAUCAGAGUUGGCAUCGAUGGGAGUCCCGUCGUGCGUUUGCGGGUCUUUGUCAGCGUUGGUCGUCAUAUCGGACUGAGCGUGUGUGGUUGCGAGAGAGAUAGAUCUGUACCCCCCCUCUUUCUAGCGCCAAACUGUGGGAACUGAAAUUCACACCGUCGAGUUUUGUUAAUCGGAGAAAAGCCAAGUUAACCUAGCCUUCCCUGAAGGUCCCGGUUAUCUGCUGGGCCACACACGACACGAUCAAUAUGAAAGAAUAAAAUGAAAAUAAGCAGAAUAAGAGAAUAAGAGAUCUGAUUUCUGAAUUCGCGUUUGAGCGUGAACAACAAGUAAGGACCUAGGCUACAAGAGCUGUCGGUUAGUUCGCUAGUGUUGGGGUCAAAAACGGUCAUGACGGAAUUAACACCCGAAAAUCCUCGGAAAUCGUAUUUCCGAAAAGAUAGUAAAAGAAAAAUAUGAUUUUCGUAAAAAUUAAUCAAUACAAAGUUUUUACGAAGAAGUAUCCUUGAAGGCUCAAAGCAAACAAACCAAGCUCGGUCAUUACGCAACUACCGCACAUGGACGCUGUCCGGUCGCUACGUAGCAACCAAGUCCGAGCCGAGCUCGGUCGCUAUGUAGCGACCGAGCUCGAGCCAAAGCGGAAAACUAGUUGAGUCGCAGCUCGGUUCCCACAGCUAGUCUAGCGACCUAAAUCUAACCUAGUUGAGUCGCAGCUCGAUUAGUAAAAACGGAAAAAGAUGCUAAAUUGCUCUAAGUGCUAAGUUGCUCUUAUGUGCUCUGAUCUCUCCUCCCUCUUCGUCCUAGGUCCUCCUUAUAUACUCCUCCUUAGGUCGGUUUACCUCUUCUUGGGCCGGAUUUGUCACGAAGCGGGCUUUUCCAUAUUUCCUUCUUCUUUGUGAUUAUCUUCGGAAAUUUGACAUUUAUCUUUGCGGAAAUUUGACAUUUAUCUCUUCCCGCGGAUGAGAUAAACCGUCAUACCAUUCUUUGGGCUCAAGUCUUUUUGGACCAUAAAUGGGCCGUUGUCCGCAAUUCGGACCCUCUUUGGGCCGUAUCGAGACUUAAGCGUUUUUACGAUUUUACUCGCGAAGUAGCCGUUGGUAUAGGCAUGGUUCUUCCAACGGAACCCUGUUUCUUCGCAUAGCCGAUGCAGUUGGUGUUAAGUUAACCGUAACCUGCUCUACUAUAAAGAAUAGGAAACCGUUCGAGGGACAUAACCUUCCCAACUUCCCGAAGACUUUCGACGAUGUUUUUUAGACGGAACAUUGGUGUCGUAUCCACGGACCCGAAGACUGAGUUACAGAAACUCUGGACGAAGAUGCAUGGUUAUGGGAUGGGACCGGGUUCGGAAUGGUCCACAGAGAAUUGGCUGCGCUCGCCGGGCGAGCUGGCUCGUGUCACGGCCGAGCUCGCCGGCGAGUCCACCGGCAACACGGUCGUGCUCGCCAGGCGAGCUGGUUCGUGUCGCGGCCGAUCUCGCCGGCGAGUCGACCGGCAACACGGUGGUGCUCGCCGGGCGAGCUGGCUCGUGUCGCGGCCGAGUUCGCCGGUGAGUCAACCGGCAACACGGUCGUGCUCGUCGGGCGAGCUGGCUCGUGUCAUGGUCGAGCUCGCGGGGUGAUCCGUUUCGGCUAUUCGUUUUCUCGGCUUUUGAAGUUUUGACCGAGAUUCGGUUUUUCUGAGGACUUUUGGACAUUGAUUCCGUCGUGACCGGAUUUUGACUCCAACAAGGCUAAAUGUUUAAUUUCAUCAAGCUCGUUAAGCUGGAUGAGUCUCCAUUCAGAAGCAGGCUUUAUAUCAAAAUUCAGAAGUUUAGCAGCCCAAGCUGCUUUAAGCUCCAGUUCGACUGGUAAAUGAAAGGAUUUGCCAUAUAGGAGGUGGAAUGGGGUAGUUCCCAACGGUGUCUUAUAGGCGGUCCUGUUGGCCCAAAGUUCUAGUUUCCUAGACUAAUCCCUUCUGGAAAUUCCUAUAAUUUUCUCUAGAAUUUCUUUGAUUUGCCGAUUAGAGACUUCUACCUAUCCACUGGUUUGUGGGUGGUAAGGAGUAGCUACUCUAUGCUGAAUACCGUUCUUUUUAAGUAGUCCAUCAAAGACCUUAUUGAUGAAAUGGGUUCCACCGUCACUGAUGACUAUUCUAGGAACUCCAAACCGUGGAAAGAUUAUGCUCUUGAAAAUCUUAAUAACGACAGAUGCGUCAUUGGUUGGGAAAGCUAUUGCUUCAACCCAUUUGGAUACGUAGUCUACAGCGACUAGUAUAAACUUGUUUCCGUAUGAGGAUGGCAAAGAACCCAUGAAAUCUAUCCCCCAGCAAUCAAACACUUCUACCUCCAGAAUGAACUUCUGUUCCAUUUCGUGUCUUUUGCUGAUUUUUCCUCAUCUUUGGCAUCUGUCACAUUGCGUUAUGAAUGCAUGGACAUCGCGAAAAGUCGUCGGCCACCAGAAUCCUGCUUGAAGGAUUUUUGAAACCGUUUUAUAGGUGGCGAAAUGUCCUGCAUAGUCAGAUCCAUGACAUUGGUAUAUAAUGUCCGGGAUUUUGGCUUCGGAUACGCAUCGUCUGUAUAUCCCAUCAUAGCAAUGCCUGUAGAGGUAUGGUUCGUCCCAAUGAUAUCUUCUAACAUUUCUGAAGAAUUUCUUCCUCAUAUAUCCCUUGGUUCUUCAGGUUCGAAUUCGGCUGCCAAAUAGUUGACUAUGUCAGCAUACCAGGGUCGAUCUUUUGAGUUUCGACCAAUUGCGUGCACCUCACGUUGCGAUUCUUCACCAGGUGUGAGAUUUAUUUUAUUACCAGCAACGUUAACAGUUAUGUAAUAUUUAUUUUUAUAGACGAGGUGCCAUUAUUGUGGUUGCUAGGGAAUCGAGGUGUUGCGAUACUGUCGUUAUCGAUCGAUGUAUCACUACUUGAAUCAAUCGAUAUGUUUUCUUUUGUAUCGAUCGAUGUCUCAUCGGAAGUGAGAGAUAUUUGACCUGCGAAAGAUGUAUCUAUUUGUGCCACGUUCUCGGUCGGGAAGAAAUCGUCUAUAGGGACGUUAUCCUCUAUUCUGAUUCGAGAAAGAUGGUCAGCGACUCCAUUAUCUACUCCUUGCUUAUCUUUAAUUUCAAUAUCAAACUCUUGGAGUAGUAAAAUCCAGAGUAUGAGUCGAGGUUUUGCAUAUUUCUUUUGCAUCAAAUAUUUAAUGGCAGCGUGGUCAGUAUGAACUAUCACGUGUGUGCCAAUUAUAUAUUGAUGGAAUUUUUCAAAUGCGUAAACUAUGGCAAGUAGUUCUUUUUCUGUUGUUGCAUAAUUUCGUUGCACUUCAUCAAGCGUACGACUGGCAUAGUAGAUGGCAUGCAGCUUUUUAUCUUUCCUUUGGCCCAAAACUGCUCCUAUCACAAAGUCACUCGCAUCGCACAUGCUCUCGAAAGGGAGAUUCUAGUCGGGGGCUUGACUGACAGGGGCAGUUAUAAGGGAUUUUUUUAAUUCAUUGAAACCUUUCAUGCAUUCUGGAGUAAAGUCGAACUUUACUUCCUUGCACAAGAGGUUAUUUAAAGGUCUAGCGAUCUUGCUAAACUCUUGUAUAAACCUCCUGUAAAAUCCGGCGUGUCCGAGAAAACUUCGCACGUCUUUUACAUUUUUGGGUGCUGGUUGAUAUACCUUGGAUUUGACCCGUUUUCAUCCAUGGUAUAUAGGUGUUUUACUAUAUAUAUAUAUCUAUGUUUUCUACUCUUCUAGGUAUGUUUUCAGGUUCAGGUGCAUUUCGGAGUAAAGCUAUGACUUUGGAGCAUUUUGGAGCUUAAAAGACAUUUCACCCGAGCUGACCUUGUAGAGGUCGACGAGAGGAAGAACAAUCGAUCGAUGCACAUCCAGUGCUGUCGAUCGACACCAUGAGAUGCCUCGACAAAUGAAGAUUAAUAUCGAUCGAUGUACACAAGUACCAUCGAUCGAUGUCGAGACAUUGGACAUGCGACAUUUUGGAACCAGCGGACUUAAAACCCAAGGCCAAGCCAAAUUACGAAAAUGCCCUGACGAGUUUUUAACCUAGUAGAUUAUAUACUGCCUAAAUGUUUUGACGGCAAAAAAGGAGAGCUUUUUGUUACAGUUUUACUUUGAGAGAGAGAGAAGAGAGUUUUGGAGAGAAGAUCACUUGUGAUUGGAACUCCUUGUUUUCAUUUCUUUUCAUCUAUACUAUGAGUUUCUAUUUCUUUAUUGUUAUGAAUUGCUUUGCUAUGUCUGAGUAGUUCAAUUAUUAGAUCCAGGGUUCAGAUAGGUUUGUGGGAUUAGCCUCAAACUAUAGAUCUGCCUUGUUGUGAUAUUCAUGAUAGAGUUGUAUUCAUUGCUUGUUUUAGCCUUGCAAACUAGAACUUGAUUAUAGGAUUGCAUACUCAAUCACCCUUUGUUAUCCCAUCCUGACAUCUAUCUAUCAUAUUAGGACUGCUAGAGAGGGCUAACCGCCAAUUUAGUAUCUUAAUAGGGCAUAUCAUACUCGCGCAUAGGCCUGGCUAGAACCCGUCGAUCGAUGUCCUCAACUGACUAUCGGUCGACGUAGGUAAAGGUGUAUCAGUCGACGUCCCUAUAGGACCAUCGGUCGACACUCUCUCGUUGUCAACAUACUAACCGUUGAGACACGAGAUCUAGCUUGUUAACCAGUGAAACAUGCGACAGCUGAUCACUGAGUUAAGCGGUUGAGCUCUAACAUAUCAUGCACGCAACAAAUAUGCAUCUAUAGAUAUUAUAAUCUCCAACACCUGAAUAGCGGCCCUGCAUCUAAUAUCAUUUCCAAUCAAGUUACAUUUACUAUUUACUUCGCUUGUUACUAUUGCUAUUUCAUUUAAUUGUUCCCUAGCUCCUUGUGGAUUCGAUCCCUAAGUACUGCAUCUGAACCUCUUUUGAUGAGAGUAACACUCCUUAGGGUAAUUUGAGUGGUAUCAAAUUUGGCGCCGUUGCCGGGGAGCUUUGCUCGCCAUUAGAUUUAGUUUUAUUGAUUCUUAUUCUUUUCUCUACCCCCUUUCUAACAUAAUCUUUUUCUUGUCUUUUCAGGUGCAUGCCCAGCGGUACUAGAAGCAACAAGGAGAAAGACUUUCUGUUCUCAGCCGAUCCUGCUCACUUGGAACGCACCAUCCGUAGAGGUCAACGUUCUGCAUUGCUCGACGCAAUAACUUUGUCGUCGAUCGAUACGCACAACCAACCGUCGACAGACACCAGACCUUCAUCGUCGAUCGAUCCUAAUCGUUCGACAACGAUCGAUAUUACACCGCGUACGUCGAUCGAUACCGUGUCGUCAAAAAUGGUAAACUUUAUUAUUCUAACACAGGACGAGAACGGAAACCUGUAUGACCUGGACGGUCAUCUGCGUAAUGCAACAUGUCUGAAAAUAGACGCUUAGGGGACUGUAAUCCCUAAUGCUGAUACUACAGGAGCUGCUCAACCUGUAGACAAGGACCCUCAAUCAAAACCACUGGCCGACUACAAUCGCCCAGAUGAGUACUAUUCCAACAGAUCAGCAAUUCGACUUCCGGAGAUCCAGAAGCAGAAUUUUGAGCUGAAGCCUCAAUACUACACUCUCGUGUCGCAGAUACCCUACUCUGGGAUACCGCACAAGCAUCCUAUGGACCAUCUAGAACGGUUCGAGGAUUUUGUCGCUGCUAUUCGGAUGGAAGGAGUCCCCGAAUAUUACCUGCUGCGCAAGCUCUUCAGAUACACGCUGAAUGGAGAAGCGAUGCACUGGCUUAGGCAGCUACCCACAGGAUCCUUAACAUCCUGGACCGACAUCAAGAAUGCUUUCUUACGAAACUUCUUCGAUGAGGCGCGCGCUGAAGAACUUCGAAACAAAAUUUCCACAUUCUCGCAGAAGGCUGGAGAGUCCUUCAAAGAUGCGUGGAUUAGAUUUAGGUUCUUCCAGCGAGACUGUCCACACCACGGAUUUAACGAAGUGCAGCUUCUAAGCAUUUUCUUCCGAGGUCUCGCCUUACAGUAUCAAAUGACUCUUGAUACGGCGAGUGAAGGAAACUUCACUACUCAGAAUCCGUUAGAAGCUGUGAGACUUAUCGAACACCUUGCUAACAGCAGCAGCACCAAAAACACUGACUCUGAACGGAAGAAGUCUGUAGCCUCUAUCGGGAAGGAACAUAUGGACGAAGUAAGAGCUAAGUUAGAUGUGAUGCACGAGCUUCUUAGGAAGCAAGUCUGUUUAGCUGAAGGAGAAGUAGUAGAUACGAAAGGAGUAGAUACGGAAGGAGAAGAAAAUGUGAACUACAUCGGAGGUACCUGAUUCCAGAAAUUUGGAAACCAGGGCGGAAACAUAAACUUCUUUGGAAAUGGUCAAAGAUGUAACCAAAGUUCACAAUUUCAAAAACCCUUCAACAACAGCAAAAGCUACUCGAACUCCUACUACCAGAAUCCACCACCCCAGACUCAGGAAAGCAAGAUCGAAGAAAUGCUUGAUCGAGUACUGUUGGGACAACAACAAAUCACCGUGGAUUUCAACGGUAAAAUAGACUCUGCCUACAACAAUCUGAACACCAAAACCGAGACCUUAGGGACUCAGGUGAAAAAACUUGAAACACAAGUGAUUCAGACUGGCGAAACUAUAAAAAGGCUAGAAGCUUUCGCUAGAGAGGCAGGAGCUGACAAGGGAAAAUACCACGUAAAUGCCAUCAUAGAUGAUGAUUUCUGGUAAGUGGUGAGACAUGAGAAGCUCGAGGAAGGAGACUUCGAAAUCGAAAGCUCCAUGAGUCUCGGCGGAUCCCAAUGGUGUCGACCGAUGUCGAUGAACUCGCCUCGAUCGACAGACCAUGACAAAGAUCGAUGGACGGAUAACUCCAGUCAUCGAUCGACGUCAUCUAUCAACGUCAUCUGCUAAAUCGACUGAAUGCAAUGCAGUUCAAAUUCUAACUCAUGAGGAAUUUGCAGCUAAGCAUCCUCACCCACCCUCCCCUUUCUAUGAUAAAAUCGAUCGAUCGGCUGAGCCAACCAUCAAUCGAACAGAGUGAGUCCGACGUCGAUCGUCACAACACACCUCCCAUCGAUCGACAGGCACCUCUGACAUACCGAGUGCGGUUACCCUCAAUCGAUAAUGACUAUAUCAACGCACUCAAACCACCACCAAAACCUUUAGCUAACCCACCCGAACCAAAACCCAACCCUUUAAAGAGUUCACCAGAACCAGUUCAAGAAGAUCAGGAAACUGAAGGGAGAAGUUUAAGGAAAAGAAAGGAUAAAAUUCCUAAGAACCUUAAGAGGGAAGCUAACGAUAAGGAGAUGGAUGGUUUCACUAAAAGAAUCCUCAGAAUCCCAAUCGAAAAACCUUUUGAUGAAGCUUACUUCACACACCGGUUGUGGAUGUUCUUCAGAGAAACAAAGGUAACUGAGGAGGACUUUAGGAGAAUGUUUCAUCAAGUCAGAGAGAAGAUGAGACAAAGGAUCACAUUGACGAAGAAGAGUGAUCCUGAGAAGUUUGAAAUACCAUGUGAUAUCACUCAAAUUACCCUAAAGAGUGUUACUCUCAUCAAAAGAGGUCGAGUUAUAGUACUUAGGAAUCGAAUCCACAAGGAGCUAGGGAACCGAUUAGAUCUAAACAAUUUAUAAUAAACUAGGCUAAUAGAUUAUAAAACAGUAAAAUAGCAAUUAAAUAAACAAAGCAGUAAACAAGUUGAACAAGUCAAUUGUUUAGCUUGGCAAGGGUUGUUCGAUGGAAGGAUGGUUGCUAGAUCUAGGGUUUCUAUUCAGGUGUUGGAGAUUAUAAUUCCUAUAGGUACCUAUUUGUUGCAUGCAUGAUAUGUUAGAGCUCAACUGCUUAACUCAGUGAUCAGCUGUCGCAUGUUUCACUGGUUAACUCGCUAGAUCUCGUGUCUCAACGGUUAGUAUCUUGAUCACGAAAGAGUGUCGACCGAUGGUCCUAUUGGGACAUCGACUGAUACACCUUUACCUACGUCGACCGAUAGUCAGUUGAGGACAUCGAUCGACGGGUUCUAGCCAGGCCUAUGUGCGAGAUGAUUUGCCCUAUUAGGAUGCUAAAUUGGCGGUUAGCCCUCUCUAGCAAUCCUAAUAUGAUUGAUAGAUGUCAGGAUGGGAUAACAAGGAUGCUUGUGUAUGCAAUCCUAUGAUCAAUAUUCUAGUUAAUUACUCUAGAACAAGCAAUAAGUAUAGAUCUAUCAUGAAUAUCACAACAAGGCAGAUCUAUAGUUUGGGGCUAAUCUCACAAACCUAUCUGAACCCUGGAUCUAACAGGUGGAUCUACUCAGACAUGAAAACAGAAAUCAUAUAUGAAUAGAUAGAAAAACUGAAAUGAAAUAGAUCAAUUAAACCAAAGGAGUUCCAGGAGGACUCUGAUAGGAGUUCCUCCCUUCUCUCCUAACAAAACUAUGAAUCAAAGAAAGUGUGUAAAAAGCGUCAAGAAGUGUAGCCGUCAACAAUGGCUUAGAAAUAACAUAAAUAGGGUUUCUGGUCGUCUAAGGAUAUUCUGGUAAUUUGUGGCUUCUGGGCUUCACGCAGUCAUAAAAUAUACAAGGCCCACGAUCUGGGAUCUCCAUCGAUUGACAUGCAGAGUGCUGCUUCGAUCGACGUGCUUUCUCUCGCGAGGCGGACUGGCCACUCUUCAGUAAAACGGGUAUAACUUCUGCUACAGGAUGCUGAUUUACCUGAGACCGGUGGCAUUGGAAAGCCAAGUCAAGGCUCUAUCUUGUGUCCAAAUAUGGGAUCAAUCUAACGGUCGGAAGGUCUCCAUCCAUAGCUAAACAUCUCACGCAUCUGUGCAACUCUGCACCUCCAAAGGCUCCAAAAGACACCAAAAUCACCAUAUUUCUCCUAAAUACUGUAAAUACUCUAAAUAGACUCCAAACAUAAUAAUUGUAUCUUAAAAAACUUUAAAACACUUAUAGACCAUGAUUAAAAAUGGGUAAAAUAUAUGGUCUAUCAACUCCCCCAGACUUACCCUUUUGCUUGUCCUCAAGCAAAACAGACGGGCAGUCUCUCUGAAAGAUGUUUUGAAAACAGCAGGGACUCACAUGAUUUAAAACUUAGAAUCAUCACCUCUACAAUAUUGCAAUCCACAUCUAAGAAGUCCUAAUCACAGAAGCACAUUAUACAAUAUCCUAGCUUAGCAACCAAAUUCACCUAGCCAACAUCUUAGCAAAUCAUGUCUGACAUUCCCCUCUACCAACCUCAUUUCUUAACAUAAAUAAAUGUGUAUGAUUUACCUUGGGAGUAUCGAUCACAAGACACAUGGGGUCUUACCCCAACAGGUGUAUGAGUAAACAGGUAGUCUUGUUUUGUUUUCUUUUACUCUAUAUCUCCCUUCUCUGAAUCUUUUUUUAUCUCAAUUCCAAUGAACAAAGAUGCUGAUGCAGUCCAUCUUAUUCACCUUCUUUUCGAUUUUUUUUUUUUUUUUUCAUGUCAAAGUGUAGGCGAAUAGUGGGGUCAUCGCUAAUGUACCUACUCCUCGCUUCCAACAAUGUGUGAUCAUUCUAUUAGAGUAGAAUAAUGGGGUCGCAGGAGACGCUCCUACCCCUCUAAACCGCAAGAAAUCAUCUCAAUCUUUUAUUUUAUUUUAUUAGGAUGCCAAAGGGAGGAGAGAAGGAAACCAAAAUCACUCAGACUUUUACCUUUCAGACCUGAAGGAGGAAUCCGAUCCAGUGUAUACCAAGCUCUAAGACAAGCAGUUAAGUCAAAUUAGGUAAGCCUCCAACAGCUAGUUUUCAUGGAGCCAUCAAUUCUUUUGCUUCCAAGUUUAUUAUUUCGAUUUUAUUUAUUUCCUUAUGUCAUUUUAUGACUUUUAGAGAGUCCCAGUAGUCGAGCCUAUAAAGCUCAAUUAGUUUGUCUUUGUAAAUAACCCUUGAACUUUUAUGAAUGAAAAUACAGUUUUUCUAGUUUCUCAAAACUAUUGUUCUAAGUCUUAGAGUAUUGUGAGAAGCAGCUCUUGAGCAUCAAGACUUAU